AUUGAACGCUGGCGGCAGGCCUAACACAUGCAAGUCGAACGGUAGCACAGAGAGCUUGCUCUCGGGUGACGAGUGGCGGACGGGUGAGUAACGUCUGGGGAUCUGCCCGAUAGAGGGGGAUAACCACUGGAAACGGUGGCUAAUACCGCAUAAUGUCGCAAGACCAAAGAGGGGGACCUUCGGGCCUCGCACUAUCGGAUGAACCCAGAUGGGAUUAGCUAGUAGGCGGGGUAACGGCCCACCUAGGCGACGAUCCCUAGCUGGUCGGAGAAGAUGACCAGCCACACUGGAACUGAGACACGGUCCGGACUCCUACGGGAGGCAGCAGUGGGGAAUAAUGCACAAUGGGCGCAAGCCUGAUGCAGCCACGCCGCGUGUAUGAAGAAGGCCUUCGUGUUGUAAAGUACUUUCAGCGGGGAGGAAGGCGAUGUGGUUAAUAACCGCGUCGAUUGACGUUACCCGCAGAAGAAGCACCGGCUAACUCCGUGCCAGCCGCCGCGGUAA
rnacentral:rRNA from 1 species